rnacentral:lncRNA from 1 species
GAUACUGAAGAAAUUUGCGUGCGCCAGGCGGACUGUGGCCCACCUAGGAUCCGUGAGCCUGGCGAUGGAGCAGGCUCUGUAAAUUUCCUCAUACCUGGAUAGCGUUUUCUAAAUACUGCGUCUGGCCGCCUUCCCAGAUAUACUGAAUCAGAAUCUCCAGUGAUGGGGCCCUAGUGAAAACCCGGGCUCCAAUCAGGAACUGAGGAAAGGAAAGAAAGGGGAAGGGGGUCAGAGGACUUGCAGGCGCUCAAACGCUACGCCUGGAGUUUAAAAGGGAAACUUCACCUCAAGGAACACGUGAAACCCCCAGACCACCAAGAGCUUCCGGCGUCAGUGCUUCCCCGGUGCAAUAGGAUUGCUUGCUUUAUCAACUCCUUCAAAAACUCAUCUCAGAGUGACAGUAAAGAAAUGAAAUCAGACAAAAGCCACAAGAGAGAAGAGCUCAGAAGGAGGGCAGAAGCAGAUGCGAAGUUUCAAUAAAUGUGUGGACGGUCAAAAAACAAAGGAAGCAACAUAUGUUCAAAGUGAAGAAAGCAGUAGUUCAGGAUACAGGAAGUUUAGGGCUAAGCCUAAAGAACCCCAGACUCACCACAAGUUUAGGAAUAAGAAAGACACUGUGUGUGCCUUUAGGCUGUGCCCACUGAUAUGAGCGAGAACCCUCAAAUCUCAGUCUUAGCGUUUCAGGGUCACUCUUCAUGGACACUCCUGAUUGGGGGUUGGGACUCCUCUAAGCCCUGAGUCAAGGAUCCUGGCUGCUUCCAUCCUGGGCCUUGGCCAUCUUCAUAAUAUGGAUUCAACAUUAAACCAGACUCAGAACCGUCUAGGACACUCAGAACAAUUUGAUAAAAAUUUAUAUUCAAGAAACAUGAACAGGAUACUAUGAAAAAAGGAAGCCCCAGAGAAUGUGAAAGAGCAUUGGAAUUUAAAAGUAUGAUUGUUUAGGAUUUUUUUUAAGUGACAGUAAAAGAAAAAAGAGAAAGGAAAGCUCUUCUCUACUGAAAAGCUGUUAUUCUAAUAAAAGAAGAAAGGAUAAUAUUAGAAAAUUCCUAUUUUGUGACAUGUAAUGUAAUCAUUGAUUCAGGUCAAAGAUCAUCAGUGGAUGUUAGAAUCAUUUGUUGCCAGUUUUAUCAAGUAACCAAACAUUCAAACAGAACCAAUACAUCUUCCCACAGAUCAUUUAGUAAUUGAGAGGAGAAAAAUCCCCUACAGUGGAAAGGAUUGCAUUUACUUCCUUCAUAAAAUGACCAUACUUCACACCAUGAACAGGAAAACAGUCUGACAUUAUGGGUCUCCUGGUGUAAUUGAAUAUGAGGAACACAACCUCACCUAUGAAAUAUUAUUGCACAGAAAGUUCAGCUUUAAUCGGAACUCUAGUCCUGUGCUAUGCAAUAUGUUGGACACUGGACACAUGACUGUUGAGAACUUGAAUUGUGGCUAGUCCAAAUUAAGAUGUGCUAUAAGUGUCAAGUAUACACCAGAUUUGAUUUCAUAGAUAUAG